rfam:Myotis lucifugus cont2.1070, whole genome shotgun sequence.
GGUGGUUCUCGGGUGACGCACCCUGGAAUCGGGCUCCCUACUCUCUGAUUCUGGGUGUGUCACCUGAGAACCACA